rnacentral:rRNA from 1 species
CAGUAGCCACGGUAAUACAGAGGGUGCGAGCGUUAAUCGGAUUUACUGGGCGUAAAGCGUGCGUAGGCGGCUUCUUAAGUCAGGGGUGAAAUCCCAAGGCUCAACCUUGGAACUGCCUUUGAUACUGGAAGUCUUGAGUUCGGGAGAGGUGAGUGGAACUGCGAGUGUAGAGGUAAAAUUCGUAGAUAUUCGCAGGAACACCAGUGGCGAAGGCGGCUAACUGGUCCAUAACUGACGCUGAGGUGCGAAAGCGUGGGGAGCAAACAGGAUUAGAUACCCCAGUAGUCCCUGUCUCUUAUAC